AUUGAACGCUGGCGGCAGGCCUAACACAUGCAAGUCGAGCGGUAACAGGAAGCAGCUUGCUGCUUCGCUGGCGGGUGGCGUACGUGUGGGUUAUGUCUGUGAAACUUCCUGAUGGAGGGGGAUAACUACUGGAAACUGUAGCUAAUUCCGCAUAGCGUCGCAAGACCAAAGAGGGGGACCUUACGGCCUCUUGCCUUCGGCUGUGUCCAGUUGGGAUUAGCUAGUAGGUGGGGUAAAGGCUCACCUAGGCGACGAUCCCUAGCUGGUCUGAGAGGAUGACCAGCCACACUGGAACUGAGACACGGUCCAGACUCCUACGGGAGGCAGCAGUGGGGAAUAUUGCACAAUGGGCGAAAGCCUGAUGCAGCCAUGCCGCGUGUAUGAAGAAGGCCUUCGGGUUGUAAAGUACUUUCAGCGGGGAGGAAGGGAAUAAAGUUAAUACCUUUGCGCAUUGACGUUACCAGCAGAAGAAGCACCGGCUAACUCCGUG
rnacentral:rRNA from 1 species